CCUACGGGAGGCAGCAGUGAGGAAUAUUGGUCAAUGGCCGGAAGGCUGAACCAGCCAUGCCGCGUGAAGGUCAGUGCCCUAUGGGCGUUAAACUUCUUUUGUGCGGGAGCAAUAAUGGUCACGUGUGGCCAGACGAGAGUACCGUACGAAUAAGCAUCGGCUAACUCCGUGCCAGCAGACGCGGUAAUACGGGGGAUGCAAGCGUUAUCCGGAUUUAUUGGGUUUAAAGGGUGCGUAGGCGGUGAGGGAAGUCAGCGGUGAAAUGCCACCGCGCAACGGGGUGAAGUGCCAUUGAUACUGGCUUGCUGGAAUGCGCAUGCAGUGGGAGGAAUGUGUGGUGUAGCGGUGAAAUGCAUAGAUAUCACACAGAACACCGAUUGCGAAGGCAUCACACGAAUCCGCGAUUGACGCUGAUGCACGAAAGCGUGGGUAUCAAACAGGAUUAGAUACCCCUGUAGUC
rnacentral:rRNA from 1 species